UCUUAUAUUUCCUUACAGUGAAUUCUAAUGUCAUUGCUCACUGGAUGUAACUACUCACUCUCCUGAGAGUCUUAGGUGGGUGUGAGCAGAGUUGCCAUGCAGUGGUAAUGUUUUCAUUUAUGUGGGGUGUCUGGAGGGCAGAGUUAGAUUCUUGCCCAUGCAGAGCCGCAGGGCUACACAGACACUGCUCUGUUUCUUAACCCAGCGAGGCUCUCCAAAGGGCCCAUGAAGAAAAUCUGUCUUCUCUGAUUAGUCUGUUGGUGCUACUCUGCUUGAAAUACUUUUUUCUUAACUCCAAGGACUCUGAAGUUUCCCAAUGUCUGGCAGAUUGAAGACCAAAAAUAAAGGUGAACUAGGAGAAGCUGGUUGGAGGGAAAAUCCAGAGAGAACCUUUGACUUGGUAUUGAAAGUGAAAUGUCAUGCCUCAGAAAAUGAAGGCACACCUUGGAGAUGCUGUGAGUCUGGUUCCAGACUACCACAGAAUCCGAUGGUUUUGUGGAAAUUUCCAGAGGACUUUGGAGAUCAGGAGGUACUACAGACUGUGCCCAAGUUCUGCUUCCCCUUCGACGUUGACAGAGUGUCUCAGAAUCAAGUUGGACAGCACUUUACCUUCGUCCUGACAGACAUUGAAAGUAAACAGAGAUUUGGAUUCUGCAGACUUACAUCAGGAGGCAGAAUCUGCUUAUGCAUCCUUAGUUACCUGCCUUGGUUUGAAGUAUAUUACAAGCUUCUAAAUACUCUGGCAGAUUACUUGGCUAAGGAACUGGAAAAUGAUUUGAAUGAAACUCUCAAAUCCCUGUAUAACCACCCAAUACCAGAGGCAAACACUUCUGUCCCCUUGAGUGUGCAUUCGUACUUCAUUGCCCCUGAUGUAACUGGCCUCCCAACAAUACCUGAGAGUAGAAAUCUCACGGAGUACUUCGUCGCGGUGGAUGUGAACAACAUGCUGCAGCUGUACGCCAGCAUGCUGCACGAGCGGCGCGUCCUGGUCACCUCCAGCAAGCUGAGCGCCUUAACUGCCUGUCUCCACGGAUCAGCUGCGCUGCUCUAUCCAAUGUAUUGGCAGCAUAUAUACAUCCCGGUGCUCCCCCCACACCUGCUGGACUACUGCUGUGCCCCAAUGCCAUACCUGAUUGGAAUACACUCCAGCCUUAUAGAGAGAGUGAAAAAUAAAUCAUUGGAGGAUGUGGUUAUGUUAAAUGUUGACACAAACACUUUAGAGUCACCAUUUAAUGACUUGAACAACCUACCAAGUGAUGUGGUCUCGGCCCUGAAAAACAAACUGAAGAAGCAGUCUACCGCUACUGGGGACGGAGUAGCUAGGGCCUUUCUUAGGGCGCAGGCUGCUUUGUUUGGGUCCUACAGAGAUGCCCUGAGAUACAAACCUGGCGAGCCUGUCACAUUCUGCGAGGAGAGUUUUGUAAAGCACCGCUCCAGUCUGAUGAGACAAUUCUUGGAGACUGCAGUUAACCUCCAGCUUUUUAAGCAGUUUAUUGAUGGUCGACUGGCAAAACUAAAUGCAGGAAGGGGCUUCUCUGAUGUGUUUGAGGAGGAGAUCACUUCAGGGGGCUAUUGUGGAGGGAGCCCGAGGUCCUAUCAGCAAUGGGUGCAUACAGUCAAGAGAGGGGGCGCGCUGCUCAACACGGCGGUGACGAGAGCCACACCUGCUGUGCGGACAGCAUAUAAAUUUGCAAAAAAUCACGCAAAGCAGGGAAUAAAGGAGGUGAAGAGUAAGCUGAAGCCCAAGGAAAAUGAGGAAGAUUAUGGGACCUGUUCUGGCUCUGUACAGUACACACCCCUUUACACGUUACAUGGUGACAAGGAAGGAAACCUAGAAAAGCAUAAGCUUGCCCAGGCACGCUUGAAAGGACCUCUGAAGAGCAUUGACGGUGCUCUGUGUGGUGAGGGUUGUGAGGACCCAGAGAGAGCAAGCAGAUUAUCUUCUGAAGAUGGCGAAGACGCUUCUACGUAUUUUUAUGAAAGUGAUGACUCUGUUGAAAUGAGAGUGAAGACUCCUUGCUCGGGAGAGAUGGACUUGCUGGGAGAAAUCCUGGACACCCUGAGCACACACAGCUCGGACCAGGGGCAGCUGGCAGCGGCCAAGAGCUUGGAUUUCUUUAGAUCCAUGGAUGAUAUUGAUUAUAGACCUACGAAUAAAUCCAAUGCUCCCAGUGAGAAUAAUCUGGCCCUGCUCUGCAGCGGUUCUGGGGACGCAACAGAGCAGCACCCCGGGCAGAACAGUGCCGCGCCCUGCGAGCGCCUCUCAGCGUCCCCCAGGGGGCACACCUCCCCCGGCAGGCUCACGGAGUCCCUGCUCAUCCUGAAAGAGGAGAACAGCGGAAGACACCUCCGUGUGGGCAGUGUGAGCGGGCCUCCUGGGGUGGGAAAGGCAGCCGGUCCUCCUGGGGUGGAUACCCAGCCGGCCCCACCGGAAGUUUCCUGGACUGAACGAGGAGAGGCAGAGCAGAAGGGAGCCCUGGGACAGACUUCAGGAGACCCGCCUGCACCCAGCCGCGGGCGACUCCCGCCUGCUUUUGUGCCUUGGGAGAGAGAGGGAGAAGAAGCCGCAGAGAUGGCCGAGGAUGGUGGCCUGCUUCACGAGGUAGCAUCGUUGUGCCACUUAACAUCUGCCUUCCAGCAGGGCCUGAACGUUUCAGAGGGACCCACGAGUGGGCACAACGUUUAAAUCAACAGUUGGUAGUCAGUCACUUGCAUCCAAGCUUCUGUGGAAACAUUGUAGGAUUCCACAUGACCUGCACAGUAAACGAUUAUUUGUAGGAAUGACAACUCUUACUACUGUCUAAAAAUCAUUUUUCAUUUGGGAAAUACAUUCCCUCUGCUUGUUUGCCUUGUGGGUGUGUAGCAUCCACUGGCAUUACAUGUAAAGCUGACUCGCCUCCUGUGCGCCUAAGCCGGGCACCAGUUUGUUUAUGUGUCGAAGUAUGUAUCGAACAUGUGACUCCCCAGUAUUGGUGCUUAAUGCCAUUCAUUUUAUUCAAACUACGCACGCACGUCUAACCCUUGCACAUUGCCGACGACUGCUGUGCUGACCUGGUUGAGCAUGAACUAAUCAAGAUACUAACACUCACCAGAACUAACCGGAAACUGCUGAAAUUGUUGACCCCCUAAUUGCCUUAAUCUUAAGCCUGUGUUAACCAUACUUAAAUAAUUUAUGGACUUACAAGUAUAUUUUGAAAGAUAAGUGGGAAGAGCUCUGCAGAGCAAUAAUGCCUUUUUCUAUUCAUUGAAUCAAGGGCAAAAUUCAUUUUUUCAGAGUCAAAGCUCUCUUGCGGACGCUGCAGCCAUGUUUUCCAAAAAGCAUUCGGGCACAACUGCCCUUUCAGUCAGUGGGAUGUGUGAGAUGCUGCAUCGCAGCAUGAAGUGAGUGACUGCUGUUACAAGUGACAUGGCCUCGGUUGCCUUCGCUGGCUGGGAAUGCGCCCUCAGAACGUCACCUGUCCUGAUGAAAAAGUUCCACUUUUGUUCCCAGCUAAUUUUUAUCAGAAUGCUUCAUCUCAUCUUAAUUUACCUUUUACAAUAAUUGACUUGAUGUUUUACAAGUUUUUAAUUAAUGGCAAAGUUGUGAAGACAGGGCAGGAUUCCUGCAUGUGAACACGGUUUCCUGCUCUCGGUACCGCAUGUCAGCCUGGCACGUUCUCCACAGGUCGGUGAGCUGGGACAUAUGCUCCAGGUCUACUCAGAGUUCCCUGGUUCUCCCCCCAGGGGCGUGUUCCGGCCCCAGAACCAGGAUGAUGCACUGCAUUUGGAUCUCGAGUCUUAGAUCCUCGGGGCAGCACCACUUUCUCAGACUUCCCUGGGUCUGGUGGCCUUGACAGUCGUGAAGAGUGCUGGUCGCAUGUGCUGCAAAGCAAACCUCCCCUGGAGUCUGUCUGGUACUUUCCUCACAGUCACACUGGGACGAUGGGUUUCGGGGAAGGAAGGCGGCAGAAGCAAAGUGCCAUUGUCACGACAUGGUACCGAGGGUCCGAGGCGCCACCACGCCUGGUGAGCAUGGGUGCUGAGUGUGGCCACCUGCCGAGGCAGCGGUCGAGUUCCUCCAGCUGAAGCCCCUCUCCGCCUCCCUCUCUGCGCUGUGGUCUGGGAGGAAGCCCCUGUGUGCAGCCCCACCCGAGGAGUCGGGGUUCACGCUUCCUCUCGUUGAGGGCAGAGAACCUACAUACAUAAUUUGGGAUUCUCCCAGUAGAAGAUUCAUCUCUUCUCCCUCAAAUAUUGAUUCAUGACAGACUAGAUCAACAGUAUAAUAAUGCUGCUACCUAAGGUAUCUACUUUUAAAGAACAGACUCGGAAUCUCUCAGAAAGUACGUGUCCUUGCUUGUCUGAUGCCCAGCCACCACUCUGUUCAGCCUUCCCCAGGGAGCACAGGGCUCUCGGUCCUGGAGCGGUGCCCCUUUUUUGCUCAGUUUGGGACUCACUGAGGGUGUGGGUGCGUGUUGCUGGGAAUCUAGUUUUUACUGCCUUUAUCCUGAAAGCAGCCUUCUCUGGAAACAGCCCCUUCUCCCUGCCUUGCUUGUGAAUCAAAACUGUACGUGUCAGUGUGGCUGGUGGGAUUCUGUGCUGAUCCCCUAACAGUAGGAUUCAAGAAUGCUCGCUAAUUAGUUAAAUGACAUGAAGAAUUAGACUCCUGAUCCAGAGGAGAAAACUGUGAAUAUUCUCACAAUCAGUAUUUCUUCUUUCUCUCCUAGAAAGUGUGGAUUUUCAGGAAAAGAUUAUUUUCAUGAAUAAAUUUUUUAUGAGAAUUCCAUUUGGUUUAGCAUAAGAGACUCUGCUUCUGGGUAGAUACUUGUAACUCAGAAGAUAAAUUUAAGAGUAUAAAAAUAAAUACCCAAAUCUAAUUCCCAAAGCACUUCUUGGUAUAGAAAAUAGUUUUUACAAACUCUGUCAGUGCUGACAUCUGUCCUGUUUCGAGCCCAGUGUUUAUUAGUGUCUGUUUCUUAGAGCUUAUUUAAGAGCCAGCAUUGUUUUGAGCAAACCAGUUAAUAUUUUAAUUUGGUCAAGAUAGGGAAUUAUGUAUCGUUAGAAAGAAGUGUAUUUUAUUUUCAAAAUAAUAGGAAUUUGUGCAAUAUUUUUUCCUUGCAUUAUUUAGUUUAUAUAAAUACACACAUCUGCUUUUCUAGCAGAUUCUUUAAGGUCAUGUUUUUCAGUGUUUGUGUAAAACUGUGUAGCAAUGUUCUGUGUGAUUUUAGAAAAAAAUAUUCUUUAUAUUGUUGGCAAGAGAAAUGUUUUUGUUUAUUUAAAAUGAUUAUGGAUACCGCAUUAUUGUAUCAAAACUGCCUCAGCAACAAUAAAUAUGCAAUAAGAAAAUUCUGAACCUUAGAUAAGUAUUGUUAAUAUCGUUACUUUAAAAAUGUAUAUAAUAGAGAAUGCUGAUCCUACAUGUACACAUUAACAAAUACUGAGCUCUGUACCACGCAGAUCUACAUGGCUUUUGUAUGUUCAUGGCCACAUGUGUGGAUGGUAGUAAUCCUUUGUGCUGAAUACUUGGUAAGAUUUACCAAGGGCAUCGCCAAUACUUUUUGACUGUAAAUUAAGUUAAUUUUUGUAUGAUGUACAGUUUGUUUAACCUUAGAGCUUCUAUAGAUUUCUACUUAUACUUGAAUGAGGCAGAAAGCACUGUGGAAAAUCUGUAGUUCUGGAUGCAAUAGCAAACAUACCAAAAAUAAAAAUGAAACAGGUACUGGAGAACAGUGAUAACUGGAUACUUUAUAUCCAGAAACCUAUGUUUUUUCAACCAUACUUAAGUGAAGUAGUUUGAAAUACAUACCCUUUUAUCUUAAAAGGUCGCAAAGUGACAGGUGGUCACCUCUGAUAUGAUGAACCUCCAAGGCUGUGUCUGUGUCUCAGUCCUCUGAUGGGAACCUUGUCAAGGUGCAUGGACUGAUCCACCCUCUGGUUCAUCGUGUGAUGUUUAGGGAGGGACAGAAUUAGAGUCUGAGCAACGCAUGUGCCAUCACCAUCCCUCAGAUAGUGUGACUUCCUGUGGUUAUUUUGAAAACCAUUUAAUAAUCAUAUACCAGAAAUGAGAGGUCUUGAAUCUGUUAUGAUUUAGUAUUUACAGCAAUGCCUAAAAUAACAAGUAUGAACUGCAUGGAAUCUAAUCUUAAAAUGCAUAAAAGCUGGUUUCAUAAAAGGUAUGUGAGAGGUUCAAAAUUGAAUUUUCCCAAAGCUUAUUUAUUUUGCUUUAAACUGUUCAGGAGUACUAAAAAUCUUAGCUUUUUGCUGGGCUUGGUGAUGGGUGUCUGCAGAGAGCUCUCCGGCACCCUGGCCUGCUUCAUCAUUCUCGUGUCCUCAAGGCUACAGUAUAAAUCGUCUCUAAGGUAGGCUACUUAUGGGGAGGACAGUGUAUAAAAAAAGUGUUGUUUGGGGAUUUUUUUUAAUAUGCAAAAAUAAAUAUGGGAUGAUCUACACAUCACCGUGAAGAGCCCAACACUGCAGUCACAGAAUAAAAUUGGUCAUAACCAGACUUCGCCUAGUGGUGACC